ACGAACGCUGGCGGCGUGCUUCACCCCUGCCAGUCGCACGGAAAGGCCCUGCUUUUGUGGGGUGCUCGAGUGGCGAACGGGUGAGUAACACGUGAGUAACCUGCCCUUGACUUUGGGAUAACUUCAGGAAACUGGGGCUAAUACCGGAUAGGAGCUCCUGCUGCAUGGUGGGGGGUUGGAAAGUUUCGGCGGUUGGGGAUGGACUCGCGGCUUAUCAGCUUGUUGGUGGGGUAGUGGCUUACCAAGGCUUUGACGGGUAGCCGGCCUGAGAGGGUGACCGGCCACAUUGGGACUGAGAUACGGCCCAGACUCCUACGGGAGGCAGCAGUGGGGAAUAUUGCACAAUGGGCGGAAGCCUGAUGCAGCAACGCCGCGUGCGGGAUGACGGCCUUCGGGUUGUAAACCGCUUUCGCCUGUGACGAAGCGUGAGUGACGGUAAUGGGUAAAGAAGCACCGGCUAACUACGUG
rnacentral:rRNA from 1 species